CUCUUAUCCAGAGUGGCGGAGGGACUGGCCCGAUGAAGCCCGGCAACCAUCGGCGAAGCGAAAGGCUCGCCGAAGAGGUGCCAAUUCCUGCAGCCCGCGGUGCGGGCUGAGAGAUGAGAG
rnacentral:ncRNA from 1 species